rnacentral:rRNA from 1 species
GACGAACGCUGGCGGCGUGCUUAACACAUGCAAGUCGAACGGAAAGGCCCUGCUUUUGUGGGGUGCUCGAGUGGCGAACGGGUGAGUAACACGUGAGUAACCUGCCCUUGACUUUGGGAUAACUUCAGGAAACUGGGGCUACUACCGGAUCGGAGCUCCUGCUGCAUGGUGGGGGUUGGAAUGUUUCGGCGGUUGGGGAUGGACUCGCGGCUUAUCAGCUUGUUGGUGGGGUAGUGGCUUACCAAGGCUUUGACGGGUAGCCGGCCUGAGAGGGUGACCGGCCACAUUGGGACUGAGAGACGGACCAGACUCCUACGGGAGGCAGCAGUGGGGAAUAUUGCACAAUGGGCGGAAGCCUGAGGCAGCAACGCCGCGUGCGGGAUGACGGCCUUCGGGGUGUAAACCGCUUUCGCCUGUGACGAAGCGUGAGUGACGGUAAUGGGUAAAGAAGCACCGGCUAACUACGUG